UAUGAUAUAGUUUAAUGUUAAAAUGUAAGUUUGUGGUGCUUAAGAUACUCUGUUGUGUUAUUAUAU
rnacentral:tRNA from 1 species